rnacentral:rRNA from 1 species
GACGUAGGUGGCGAGCGUUAUCCGGAUUUACUGGGCGUAAAGCGCGUGCAGGUGGUUUGAUAAGUCGGGCGUGAAAUCUCCUGGCUCAACUAGGAGAGGCCGUCCGAUACUAUCAGACUUGAGGGCAGUAGAGGGAGGUGGAAUUCCGGGUGUAGUGGUGAAAUGCGUAGAUAUCCGGAGGAACACCGGUGGCGAAGGCGGCCUCCUGGACUGCCCCUGACACUCAGACGCGAAAGCUAGGGGAGCGAACGGG